GGACUACUGGGGUAUCUAAUCCUAUUCGCUACCCAAGCCUUCGUCCCUCAACGUCAGUUAUUAGAUAAAAGGUCGCUUUCGCCUUUGCCAGUCCUUAAGGUAUCAUAAAAUUUCAACUCUACUCCCUAAAUUCUCCCCUCAUCAUAUAUAACUCUAGUAAAACUGUACCUUGUUUUAGGCUAAUUUUUACCGUCUAGGUACCCUUUAAACCUAAUAAAGAUGAAUAACACUAGUCUUCUACGUAUUACCGCGGCUGCUGGCAC
rnacentral:rRNA from 1 species